UUUCCGGUUGAUCCCGCCGGACCUGACUGCUAUCGGAUUGAUACUAAGCCAUGCGAGUCUUUGCAGUAAUGCAAGGCAUACGGCUCAGUAACACGUAGUCAACUUACCCUAUGGACGAGGAUAAUCUCGGGAAACUGAGCAUAAUACUCGAUAGAUCAUAAUGCCUGGAAUGGUUUAUGGUUGAAAUGAUUCGUCGCCAUAGGAUGGGACUGCGGCCUAUCAGCUUGUUGGUGAGGUAAUGGCCCACCAAGGCGAUUACAGGUACGGGCUCUGAGAGGAGAAGCCCGGAGAUGGGUACUGAGACAAGGACCCAGGCCCUAUGGGGCGCAGCAGGCGAGAAAACUUUGCAAUGUGCGAAAGCACGACAAGGUUAAUCCGAGUGAUUUCUGCUAAAGAAAUCUUUUGCAAGUCAUAAAACCACUAGUGAAUAAGGGGUGGGCAAGUUCUGGUGUCAGCCGCCGCGGUAAAACCAGCACCUCAAGUGGUCAGGAGGAUUAUUGGGCCUAAAGCAUCCGUAGCCGGCUCUGUAAGUUUUCGGUUAAAUCCAUGUGCUCAACGCAUGGGCUGCCGAAAAUACUGCAUAGCUAGGGAGUGGGAGAGGUAGACGGUACUCGGUAGGAAGGGGUAAAAUCCUUUGAUCUAUCGAUGACCACCUGUGGCGAAGGCGGUCUACCAGAACACGUUCGACGGUGAGGGAUGAAAGCUGGGGGAGCAAACCGGAUUAGAUACCCGGGUAGUCCCAGCCGUAAACGAUGCAGACUCGAUGAUGCAUUGGCAUAUAGCCAGUGCAGUGUCGCAGGGAAGCCGUUAAGUCUGCCGCCUGGGAAGUACGUACGCAAGUAUGAAACUUAAAGGAAUUGGCGGGGGAGCACCACAAGGGGUGAAGCCUGCGGUUCAAUUGGAGUCAACGCCGGG
rnacentral:rRNA from 1 species